rnacentral:lncRNA from 1 species
UGAAAUUAUACAUGUCUACUAUGCAUUAUACUUAGGGGAGAAAACCGAUGAUAAACCCACCUCAAAAGUUAAUUCCUGGCAGCAAGAAGAUCUCGGAGAUGCUGGAAACUCAGCCGAACUCCCUCUCAGCCAGCAAGGGUCCACAAUUCAGAUCUGAACCUCCAAAUCUACUAAAAUCCAUCAAAAUGUCACAAUCAAUACAAAUUUUCAGCACUUAAGUUAAAUUAACCCAACUCUAAUGUCCAAACUUACCUAAUCACAUCCAAAUCUG